GAGAGCAGAGGGAGGCUGCUGGGCGCAGCACGAGCAGCGCCAAAGCUCUUUUCACUUCUUACCUUCGGAAAGGCACUUCGAAGUCUAUUUCAGCGUUCACGUGCUACCCGGUGUUUAAACGUUUUCCCCUCAAGAGCAGCAGCUGGCAGUCAGGACAUACCUGUGCCGCGUGUGGCCCCAGAUGCCGGCAGGUGUGAUGUAUGAGCUUGUGGGUUCCCUGCACGGCCCGCACGGCGGAUGGGGAUUGCGAGCGAAGCCUUCUGGGGUGGCCUCCGUGCGUUCCAGGGGCCGCUGAGGCCGCCCACCAGGCAGCUCCUGCCAGCAGCUCCCAGACCCCCAGGCCCUGGAGGCCACUGAACUUACGGAACAUUCAGAAACAGCUCUUAUGAGGUCGCCAAGUAUCUCCCUGAUGCAACCCAAGACCACCUUUUAGUCCUGGAAGACUGAACACACAGACGGACAAGGGCCGGACCAUCUUUGAAAGUGGGACUCGGCCCCCGGGCCGCAGCAGCCAACCCGAAGCCAACUUCCAUCUCUCAGCUGGCCCUCGGGGACCAGCACUGGGCCAGCGGCUGCAGCGUCCUCAAGUCAGGACCAGCCAACAAUGCCCCCUGAGCAACCAUGGGACACCCGUACCGGUCCGCUACGGCUGCAUAACAAACACCGUGAGCGGGGAAGGACCGGAUGGAAGCAGACGAGGCCGGGCCACACGGGAGCCCAGGAAGCUUGACCACAGCUGCUGCAGGCCAACCGGCCAGACAGCCAGCACUGGGUCAGUGGCUGUGGCUUCCCCAGUCUUUCCCCUCUUCCGACUCAGGACCAAAUAUGCCUUUAACCGAUCUAGUGGGAUGCUCGCGCCCCCCCCCCCCAAGUCCCCUGGGGGCACCUGCACCAGCCUCGCACCACCAGCCUCCCCACACACCUGCCUGUGGGUGGCCGGAUGCCAAGCAGGGGUUUGUUCUCAUCGGGGGUGGUCUUCGUUUCUCUCUGCGGAGGUCGUUCAUUCAGUAAACAUGUAUUUACUCA